UACGUAGGGAGCAAGCGUUUGUCCGGAAUCAUUGGGCGUAAAGAGCGCGUAGGCGGCCCUGUAAGUCCGCUGUGAAAGUCAAGGGCUCAACCCUUGAAUGCCGGUGGAUACUGCAGGGCUAGAGUCCGGAAGAGGCGAGUGGAAUUCCUGGUGUAGCGGUGAAAUGCGCAGAUAUCAGGAGGAACACCGAUGGCGAAGGCAGGUCUCUGGGCAUUAACUGACGCUGAGGAGCGAAAGCAUGGGGAGCGAACAGG
rnacentral:rRNA from 1 species